rnacentral:rRNA from 1 species
UACGUAGGGUGCGAGCGUUGUCCGGAAUUAUUGGGCGUAAAGAGCUCGUAGGCGGCUUGUCGCGUCGUCUGUGAAAACCCGCGGCUCAACGGCGGGCUUGCAGUCGAUACGGGCAGGCUGGAGUUCGGUAGGGGAGACUGGAAUUCCUGGUGUAGAGGUGAAAUUCGUAGAUAUCAAGCAGAACACCUGCGGCGAAGGCGGCCUUCUGGACGAUGACUGACGCUGAGACACGAAAGCGUGGGGAGCAAACAGG